AGAGUUUGAUCCUGGCUCAGAACGAACGCUGGCGGCAGGCUUAACACAUGCAAGUCGAACGGUCUCUUCGGAGGCAGUGGCAGACGGGUGAGUAACGCGUGGGAAUCUACCCAGUUCUACGGAAUAACGCAGGGAAACUUGCGCUAAUACCGUAUACGCCCUACGGGGGAAAGAUUUAUCGGAAUUGGAUGAGCCCGCGUAAGAUUAGCUAGUUGGUGAGGUAAUGGCUCACCAAGGCGACGAUCUUUAGCUGGUCUGAGAGGAUGAUCAGCCACACUGGGACUGAGACACGGCCCAGACUCCUACGGGAGGCAGCAGUGGGGAAUAUUGGACAAUGGGCGCAAGCCUGAUCCAGCCAUGCCGCGUGAGUGAUGAAGGCCUUAGGGUUGUAAAGCUCUUUCAGUAGGGAAGAUAAUGACGGUACCUACAGAAGAAGCCCCGGCUAACUUCGUGCCAGCAGCCGCGGUAAUACGAAGGGGGCUAGCGUUGUUCGGAUUUACUGGGCGUAAAGCGCACGUAGGCGGAUCGUUAAGUCAGAGGUGAAAUCCCGGAGCUCAACUCCGGAACUGCCUUUGAUACUGGCGAUCUCGAGUCCGGAAGAGGUAAGUGGAACUCCUAGUGUAGAGGUGGAAUUCGUAGAUAUUAGGAAGAACACCAGUGGCGAAGGCGGCUUACUGGUCCGGAACUGACGCUGAGGUGCGAAAGCGUGGGGGAGCAAACAGGAUUAGAUACCCUGGUAGUCCACGCCGUAAACUAUGAGAGCUAGCCGUUGGGUGGUUUACCACUCAGUGGCGCAGCUAACGCAUUAAGCUCUCCGCCUGGGGAGUACGGUCGCAAGAUUAAAACUCAAAGGAAUUGACGG
rnacentral:rRNA from 1 species